UGCCUGAGCGGGACGAAGCCAGAGGAAACUCUGGUGGAGGCCCGUAGCGAUACUGACGUGCAAAUCGUUGGUAGGGAUCGAUUA
rnacentral:ncRNA from 1 species